rnacentral:lncRNA from 1 species
AGUACACUUUCUGCUCUCCCAGCCGGGCACCUUCGGGCUUAGGGAUCCCUUGGAGGGAAGCCCGCCGGGAAGCUGAAGACAGUGGUCACCGCCCUCGGUCAUUACUUCCCGGGACCCGGACCCUAACCCUGCGCCACAUCUCCACCCGCCCCCAGCCGUGUCCUGGCUGCGCAGCUGGAAAGGCCUCAGUUUCCCCAUCUGUGCUGUGAGGAGUGGAAGGAACGGGAUGACUAGGAGCCUUUUAAGACCGAGUAUUCGAGGUUCUUUCCGGCCCCGCGGAGCCAGGAGGUGCCAGCCGAGAUGCGCGUGCCGCGCGCGCCCUCCAGUGCCCGGUUCCCGCUUCUGCACGGUCCUCGCUGGGCAAGGGCGUCCCAAGAAAGGAGGAAAGGAAGAACUCCAUACAUUGUCAUUAUUGUGAACUGAUGAACAAAAGAGUCAAUAGGGAAGGGAAUGGGUAAAUAAACCUCAGAAUGAAGAAAUAAUA